UAGAUUACCUUGGUAGAAAUGCCAGAGCGUAGCAAGAAAAAGUUGAUGGCUUUGACCACUAAUGUGAAGAGAGAUGAUAGUGAUAAGGGCCUUGGAUUACAAGUUGUGAAAUAUUUGGCUGCCAAAUAUGAAGAGCUAGGGUGUGAAGUGAAAUGGAUGGGCAAGGCUGAUAAGGUGAUCUAGUCACAUUGGUCUGGUUACCGCUGUCAACUUCACUUCAUGUGAACCUUUAGCUUAAUACAUAUUUCUCUUGCACUUGACUACCAAGAUGAAUUUUGAGCAAGGCUAGUUUUUGCUUUGAAGCAAAGUUUGGUGUUGAAAUUUUGUAGAUUGUUGCUCAUAUGUUUCUAGGCUAGCCUUUGUAGGUUUUGGGGUUUUCUUUUGUGACAUAUGUUCAAUCAUGAAUUUGGAAAGAAAAUUAAUGGAAAGCCCCAAUUUUUGGAUGAUUAUGAAA